CGGGGCAUCGCUUAACUAGUUUAAAGUAUCUCCCUUACACCGAGAAGACACCCGUGCAAACCGGGUUGCCCUGA
rnacentral:tRNA from 1 species